rnacentral:lncRNA from 1 species
UUGCUGUUUAUCUGAAAUUAAUUUGCAUGAAACCUAAAGUUUCACUUCUGGUUUUGGCCUUUGUGCAUCUUCAUCUUUGAGUAUUAGCUAAAACCUAUCGUAUCAUUAAUUUUGAUCUUUAUUUCACGAAAAAUGGUUGAGAAAUGAGAGAGAUAUGAUUGAUGGAAGAUUUGAAAAAUAAUGAAAGAAAAAAAAAACGAAAAUAAGAAGCUAGAGGUUGAAGAAGAUGCUGACAUGGUAUGGAAAAGUCAAACCAAACGCGUUUUUAU